UCUCGAAGCUGCCGUGCUCUGUGGGUGACCUCCGGGGCCCCUCCCUCCCCCCCCCACCCCUCCACUUUGGGAGGGGGAUGGAGAGCAGGCUCCAGCCCGACCCACAGCGUGGGCACCUGGAGUCUGUGGGCACCUGGCAUCUGGCCCGGCUCUUUCCUCCCCCUGCACGCCCCGAGGCUCACCCCUGCCCCGGUGGGCAGGGCGCACAGAGUGGGGUCCCAGGGCACACAGGGUUUCCGGGCUGGCCUCUAGAGCCGGCCCAGGCCAGCCUCCGAGGACCGAAGGCCUGCAUUUUGCUCUCAUAAGCGGGAACGUUGGCUCCUGUCUCCCCUUUAUGUGGUGGCCGCUGGAGGAUGGGGAAGCCCUCGGAUGUGACCUGUUUGCUGGGGCCACGAGCCCGGGCUCCUUGGGGGACCUGGGGUCACUGCUCCUCAGGACGGGGAAGGCCCGUGGCAUGUGGGAAGGCUCACACGCAAGACUGCAAACCUCGGUUUUAAGGAACCAAGACCCAAAGUGAAGUUCAGAGACACAGACUGCCACCCUGCUUCUGACAUAUGAAAGCCUCUCACAGUGGCCCCGUCCCAUCAGAAAAUUGGCCAGCUUCGCUUACACACCUCCUGUGAUGGGGAGCUCACUACCCCUCGAAGGCAUCUCUAACCAGCUCUACUGGGAAACGUGGCUCCCAACCGCUUCCACAGCCAAGGCCAGGAGCAGAGGCCCCUCUUCCAGGAGCAGCAGGACCCUGACCCAGCUUCCGGGAGUGGAGGCCUGACGGGAGACAGCCAGGGGCUCGUAGUAUCGGAGCAAGUGGGCACAGGCCCCUCCUUCUGAAGAAAAGGCCAUUUCCUAAGUAAAUGGAAUGUGGACGUUACCCCGAAACCCAGCACCGCCUCCUCCCCACCGCCAGCCCACAGGAAGCAGACGGAAGCCUGUGAGCGCUCCCUCUGCAGCCUAAGGCCACGCUCCGGGCAUUUCCUCCUGACCCCACACGGCCCAGGAUGCAAACACACACGUGGUUCAG